AUUGAACGCUGGCGGCAGGCCUAACACAUGCAAGUCGAACGAGUAGCGGACGGGUGAGUAAUGUCUGGGAAACUGCCUGAUGGAAGGGGAUAACUAAUGGAAACGGUAGCUAAUACCUCAUACCCUCAGAUGUGCCCAGAUUGGAUUAGCUAGUUGGUGGGGUAACGGCUCACCAAGGCGACGAUCCCUAGCUGGUCUGAGAGGAUGACCAGCCACAAUGGAACUGAUACACGGUCCAGACUCCUACGGGAGGCAGCAGUGGGGAAUAUUGCACAAUGGGCGAAAGCCUGAUGCAGCCAUGCCGCGUGUAUGAAGAAGGCCUUCGGGUUGGAAAGUACUUUCAGCGGGGAGGCGUUACCCGCAGAAGAAGCACCGGCUAACUCCGUGCCAGCAGCCGCGGUAAUUC
rnacentral:rRNA from 1 species